rnacentral:lncRNA from 10 species
CACACUUGCUGUGUGCCUUUUGUAAGCGACUUGCCCGUCCACUAAAAUGAGGGUGAGAAUGCCCACUUUGCUGGGCUUGCCCUGAGGAACGAUGGCUGGCAUGGCUGCAUGUAAGGUGCUCAACCUGGUGCCCAGCUCACCCUCGCCUCUCCAGAUGGGGUGCUUAUGCUUUUUACUUUCUCGCCCCAGUUAUGGACAGCACUCCUAGGGAGCUGUGGAAAAGAAGUUUCUGCUUUAGCAGGAAUUCAGCUAUUAUCUUCUCUCUGGAGAAAGCCGUCUGCUUUUGAUCUGAGAUGGACAAACGAGGCUAUUCUGAGAAGGACUAAUUACAGUACACAUCCGGUCAUCCUCAGCAUUGCCUAGAGAACCA